AUACGUAAUAGCAGUUUUAACUAAAUCUAAUCUUGUACCCCCCCUCCAGUUUCAUUCUCCUAUUUGGAGAGCUGAGUGGUGUGAGUGGGUGUGGUGACCGAGUGUCCUCCCUCCUCCCCCUCUGUGCUGAGACACUACAACACAGACAUAGAUACUACCCUCAACACAUAAACCUCCUGGAGAUACUGCUCAAACUGAGCAGUGACAAUGCCUGGUAUACAGUCUGCUGGAGUGGACUGUCUCACCUUCCUCCAUCAGCCGCUGGGGAGAAUGAUCUUCAGAGGGAGAAUAGAACAACACGAUCCAACGUGAACAAGGAUUGUCAGAGACUGUAUACAUGGGACGAACGAUUGUGGCUGCAUGGCAUGGAUGAACUGUUCUCAUUUUGCUAACCUUGAGGACAGCAUACCCUCAGUUAGACAAGGGGCAGCUGCUGCUCUCACCAGCGUCACCAAGGCUUAUAUGCCUCAGCCCCAGCCCCGCCUGAUGUGGACAAGCUCCUGGACAUUGACCAGGCCUUGGUGCAGAUCAGGUCAAUGAAGCACAAGUGGAGGGAGCUGGCUGAGACUGUGAGGCUGUCAGAGACAUUGAUUGAACAGGUCGUCUCCCUGUGGAGUUGAACAUAAACCAAACAAAGAUCGUGCACAAGUACAACAGAGCCCCUUCCCCUCUUGAUCUCCCACCGUAACAGAUGACAUCCCAGGACAAUCAAAGACACUGUCCUAAACCACCUGGUGCGAUGGUUCCAGCCAGCCCCUAACAACGGCACCUCCACGCCCUUUUUAAGCGAUAUGCCAAGCACUAGGUCUGUGGAAAUACAUGAACUCACUUUUAUUUCAGCUUACAUGUUUAACAUGUCAAGAAUAAAUUACUCAAAUAGGAUUUGUCUAUUUCAUUUGCUUUUGUCUCAAUGAAAUCACUUUUACCAAGAAUUUUUCGAUCACUGCUUAUCAAAGAACAUUAUUUUGUAGUUAUGAAAUAGUGUUUGCUGGUGUAGAUAGACAUAAUAAUGCUGAGGAGUCAACAUAGCUCAUUUCAACCACUUUUGACACCGAUCCCAUUCACUGUCCAGUCUGUGUUUUAAUAACAAUUAACUGUUUUCUGUUA